GACUCUUCUCAGCUUACUCGGUCUCCUUUUCCUGCACUGCUACUGCUGGUAUAUCUGCUCGGUUGGUGCCAAGAUUUUUGGACCUCGUAAGAAAUAAUUCGUUUGGAGUGAUGGAGGAGGAAGAAUAAUCAGCACACAAGUUCCUCUUAUGCUGGUGACUGUGAAACCAUAGUGUCUCCAGUAUUUCUAAUCGAUCGAUAGUUGUGGGGAACGCCGUGGAUGCGGAAUUGGGUGUGUGGCAAUUGCUAAACGGCGCCUGAGACAGUUAGGGAAACUUAGUGGAUGCAGAAGUUGAUGUGUAGCAAUUGCUAAAUGGCUCCUGAAAUAGCAAGGGAUGUCUGAUGAGUGGAUUUGAAGGAAAAAAUAAUUGAUUUCAGACAUUUGAAAGGAAAUACGCGGGAUUCUUUCAUAGAAAACCUAUGGAUUUCUGUUACCAUGGUGCUGUCAUUUGCCUCUCAUAAGUAUCUUUUACUCACCCUUGCCCUGCUACCUUCAAUUUUUGGUCUUUACCUAGAAGAUCCUACACCUCUUCUCUGUAGUUGUCCUAUUUAAUAAGAAUUCCUGAAUUGGCUGCUGAAGUUUGCAGACAGUAAAAGGCUUUUUGAGGCAUUGGUAAGAACUCAAUGUUGCUAACUAUGUAGUUAAACUGAUUCUUUCCGGUCUGGAGUGGAUAGAAUUUGAAAACAUAUGCUGGACAACUCUUGAGCAGGUGAUUCAGAAAAAAAAAAAAAA